UGGGGAAUAUUGCACAAUGGGCGCAAGCCUGAUGCAGCCAUGCCGCGUGUGUGAAGAAGGCCUUCGGGUUGUAAAGCACUUUCAGCGAGGAGGAAGGUGGUGAGCUUAAUACGCUCAUCAAUUGACGUUACUCGCAGAAGAAGCACCGGCUAACUCCGUGCCAGCAGCCGCGGUAAUACGGAGGGUGCAAGCGUUAAUCGGAAUUACUGGGCGUAAAGCGCACGCAGGCGGUUUGUUAAGUCAGAUGUGAAAUCCCCCGGGCUCAACCUGGGAACUGCAUUUGAAACUGGCAAGCUAGAGUCUCGUAGAGGGGGGUAGAAUUCCAGUGUAGCGGUGAAAUGCGUUAGAGAUCUGGAGGAAUACCGGUGGCGAAGGCGGCCCCCUGGACGAAGACUGACGCUCAGGUGCGAAAGCGUGGGAGCAAACA
rnacentral:rRNA from 1 species